AUCUCGACAUGCACUUGAACUCACAGGUGAGACUGCCUUCCGUUCCCUUCUUGUGUUAUGGAGCGGCUCUCCGGCCAGCUCCGGCUGGGCAACUUGACUCUCCUGCAAAAAAUGGUCCUCAGGAGGGGCUACAGAGUUGGGGACAUCUCUGACACCCACUCUGGCCCCGUCUUGAAGGCUGAGGACCUUUCUUUAUUCCAGAGGAGCAGAGAGAGGAUACUUUGUGACCUGUAAAAUCCACAGACACUCUGUGGUCUGCACCGACUGCGGAUGCCGGUGCCGGCUGUUUGGAAUUCCGCUCGGAACGCAGGAACAGAGCUUGGCUUCCAUGCACCUGGCUGGGUCCUGCCCUUGCUGGAUUCUCUGAAGCAGAAGACUCAUCACUUAUUUAUCAUUCAUUUGUUAGAUUUAUUAAAAGUAAACAGGAUCCCUGACAGCUGCUGGGGGCUCGCAUACGGAUCCGGAACCAGGGAAGUGGGAAUAUAUGCUGCUCUCACGGACUUCUCGUAGAAUCGACCUCAGCCAAAGGCAGAACAGCAUGGGACUCCAGAGCCUGCCAAGCGGGAGGACAUCCCUGGAGUUCCCAGGAUGGCAAAGCCCCGUCUCCAGUUCUCAGGACUCACUGCUGGAUUCUUGCUCUGGCCAUGCAGCAAAGAUGCCCCUCUAAGCUGAGGAUGCUUCACCCGCCCUGGGCCUGUGAGGGGGAGGGUUGUGUCAUCUUCAUCUUUGAACACAGCAGCGCUUGGAGUCAGAGUGACACUCAGCUCAAUUCAUGGCUUUCCCUCUUUCUGGCUACACGGCAUUAAGUAAGCCGGGCUCUCUGAGCCUCUGUGUCCUAUUUGCAAACAAAGGAUAACAGAAGCACGUGCUCUGCAAGGUUGUUGUGAGAUUAAAGAAGAUGUUAUUUAAAGCUGUCAGCUCACUGAGGGCACAUAAUCAACCCCAAUGCAUGGUAGUUGUGAUUACGAUGUUAUUCUUUGCUGAGGAAGACUGGCCCUGAGCUAACAUCUGUGCCCAUCUUCCUCUACUCUAUAUGUGGGACACCUACCACAGCAUGGCCUGAUAAGCGGUGCGCAGGUCUACGCCUGGGACCCAAACCCAGGAACCCUGGGCUACUGAAGCAGAGCGUGUGAACUUAACCGCUACGCUACUGGGCCAGCCCCAUGAUUAUCAUUAUUGUUGAAUCUUUUGCACUGAGACACUGGGCAUUUGGUAAAUAUAAGUUCAGUGAAUGGUUCAUUCUUUGAUCCAACUCUUUCUGUGCCUCUGUGUGCCGGGCACUGUUCUGCAGUGAACAGACACAUCCCCUGACCUCACGGAGUUUACAGUUUGGUGGGACACAGGCAAUGAACACGUAAAUGAGCGAGUAAACUAUCUGAAAUGUAAUUUAGGAUAACAAUAGGUUCUGUGAAAGAAAUUAAGCAAGAUAAAGGAGACAGAACAAUGACUGUGUAUAAAGUGUGAGAGAGGGAGAGAGACACACAGACACGCCGACACACAGAGACACAGAGACAGAGAGAGAAGGCGACAAGUGAAGGAUGUUGGGGAGACAGUGAGUAAAUGAAUGCAGAGGGAUUUCCCCAGGUACCGUAAUGCACCUUGAUUCAUCUGACCGUGUAUUAACUCAACAACCUCUCCUCUCCUCGCCUGGUGGGUUUGUGCUGUAGAGUCUCCCUACACAGUGAGCUGAGAGAACUCCCUUGCCUACGCCUCCUCACUCCCUUUCAUUCUUGGCCUUGCAUCCUUUCUCCUAAAGUACCCACACCCAAACCCAGGACUUCACCUCAAAGAUGAACACUAUAACCUGGAAAUUCUCCUACCACACCUUUACUUGAGGGAGUCGGUGAAAUGCCCCUUUCUACGUCUGACUUCCGUACCUCCAGGCCUGCCUUCUGGAAGUGGACAGCUGUGGAUUCAAGACGUCUUGAAAUUGGAGGAGUCUUGCUUUCUGUUUGGCUCUGCAAAGCGUUACACAACUGGACUGCCAUAUUGAAUUAUUUUCAGCAGUAGAAAUUCUUCAGUGCCCCAACUCAGGCCAGGCUCUAAUUGGAAAGUAAUAAUGUUUGGGUGAAGCUCAGAUGCACUAAGUUGGUGCCGAGGGCUUGGUGGGUUUUGAGGUAAUUGGUUUUACUCAGUUGCUGAUGCUUCACUUGGACAAAUGAGAAAUCAAACUACAGCUCAGUUUGCAGAAAAGCCCAUGUCAGCAGUUUAGUCUGACUACUAUUUCAGAGCUUGUUAUGUUAUUGGCAAUAAAAUGCAACUAAUAUACUGUUAAUUAAUAUUGCAUCCUACAGCUAAUUUAUCACAUUAUUAAUCAGAGCGAUAAAGCCCAGGAAAAUGAGGCUCACCUUUCGUAUCUUUUCAUCUCUUUUAAACACUUGUAUUUAUGCACAAAUACAUGUGUUGGUCAACACUGCCAAGUGUUUGGUUGUUCCUGGACGAGUGUAUUCUAUUUUCAAACAGUAACUUGCCCCUCAGGAAUAUUUUAUUUAGCAAGACAAGACUUAAAGUGAAAGGGUAACCAUUUCUGAUCGUAACCUUGGCUUGUGCUUCGAGUAAUUAUCCUUUAAUUGCAUUACCCUAUUUGAAAUAGAGUUGUAAUUGGAAAAAAACAAUUUGACAUUCCCUGAUGCUUACUCUGACAUGCACUAUUUGCUUUUUAUUCAAAUGUAAAUUUUCUCCAUAAUACUAUCAAAGAAAGAAAAAAAAUUAAGCAAAAUUGAAAUGUCAGUAGCAAUUUCUGACAUGCAGGCAGUGUCAUUCACUGGUGCUGCUGUCUGGAAGGCAAGACUUUCAGUUCAGAUGGAAAAAAAACACCAAACUAUGAAAUUAGCAUGCUCAGAGGAGACGGAGAGAUGGAUGGCAGAGCCACAGACUGAGCCCUCUGGGACACGUGUCCACUUUGCACAAUGGCUUCAAAAUAUCAAACAAGCCGCCAGCUAUAAUUUUUGGAUGAAUAAUCCUUUUUGCUUUACAAUAAAAAAUAUUUUUUCCUUAAAACCCGAAGGGUGAUAAACUUAACUCCAGAGUUUUUUCACCUCAGGCUUCCUGAGGAGGUAAUUUUAAUUGGGGGCCUGUGAUAGGUGACAGGCAGCCGCUAAGACGGCUCUGAUGAUUCCGGUCUCCUGAUGGCCGCAACCUUUUGUAAUCUCUUCCCUUUGAGUGAGGGCUGGACCUCUUGACUUGGCUUCUAAUGAACAGAACACGGCAGAAGUAAUGGGAUGUCACUCCCGAGAUUAGGUCGCACAAAGUCCUGUGGCUUCUGCCUGGAGCUUGCCUGUGUUGCCCUCUCGCGUGCUCACUUGGAAGGAAGCCAGCCGCCAUGUUGGAGAUGCCGUGUGGUAACGGAGGCAGGCCUCUGGCCACAGCCAGCAAGAAGCUGAGGCCCUCAUCCAACAGCCCACGAAGAACCAAAACCUGUCCACAGUCUGGAAGCAAAUCACCCCUCAGCUGAGCUUUCAGGUGAGCCUGCAGCCCCAGCUGAAACCUGAUGGCAGCCUCAGGAGGGAGCUUCAGUCGGAGGCGCCCAGCUGAGUGGCAUUUGGGUUCCUGACCCACAGAAGUUGUGAGGUAAUAAGUGUUUGUUAUUUUAAGCUGCUAAGUUUCAGAGUAAUUUGUUAUGUGCAAUAGAUGACUAACACAGGGCAGGAGAGAGUGGUCAUCAAACAAAUAGAUAAUUGUAGAUAUGUCUGGCUUGCCACAUAGUUUGGUAGAGAAAGAGAUAAACAGGGGUGGAGGAAAACAACAUCCAGGAAUGUCUCCUCAAAUAAGUCAACCGACCUCACUGUGCCUCAGGGUCCAUGUCACGCAGGUGUAAUUUACUCACACGGUUUUCGUGAGUUGGGAAUGAAAUGAUGACUGCCAGAGCACAGCACACACACGAAGUGAUUGGGAUGAGACACGGCCUGUAGGGUGGACCACGCCUCUCUCAUCCCCUCCCGGCAUAGGGCUCGCAGGUGGAGGACGAGCACUGAGUCAGCCGCCUGAACUCCAAUGCAGGCUUUGUCACUACGUGGCUGUACGACCUUGAGAAAGCCCCGUAAGGUCUAUCAGCUCAGUGUCCUGAUCGGAGCAAACUUUGGGACACUGAGAGGGAGGGAAAUAGGACCAGUAGGUUCUGACUGUGAAGAGCAGCCUAAGAGCAUGGGUAUAGUAACUGGGACUCUGGUCAAAAGUGACAGAAGUCCAGUUUGAAACAGAUUAUCUCUAGGAUCUACUUUAGGUUUAAAAAUGUUGAUUUUUAGUAUUUGGCUUUAAGUAGGUUUCCAACAGACUGGCAUUGUAAUUUUCCUUCACCUAAGAAUCUACUUUUAAGGACAUUUGUGUGUCAGCAUGAGUGAAAAAAAGGUGUUCUUCGAGAGCAUGUUAGCUGAGUGAAUCAGUGAUGCACGUGGGCACUGAGUGAAGGCAGCGAUGUCACAUGCCAGGCCCAACAAGGUUGACCACCCGUGCCCGGCCCUGGUCAUCCGACUGCUCCCCGCAGCGUUUCUCCUCAUGCCCAGCCUAGAAGACAUGUCUUCAUUUCAGAAGGCAGCUCACAGCCUCUGGAGUCUGAGUUGUGCAGCUGUGACCUUUAUGAUGUCACGGGGUCAGCGCAAGCCCCUGCACCACCCGGAGAGGAGAGUCCUCAGCUUGUCCCCUUGACAGCUCACUCGCCUCACCCUGGCCCUGGCCUGUGCACAUCCCCUGGUCCCAUCACAGAGCAGUAGCACCACCGUCUCCCGCAGGCAGAGAGAAGGCUGCCCCAGCGGACGGUUCCGAGGAGCUCGUGGCGGUCUCUCUGACCACGCCGUCUUCCUCAUCCGCCUUCAUCAACAUCCAAACGUCUAAGCUUUGGGUCACUUCUAAAAGCAAGAAGGUUUGGGGAAAAGUAUACAGGAUUCGGAAACGAAAAAUGAGAGUUGAAAUUCAGGUUCUGGCAGAAAAUAACUUGGGGGAAUUUGGGCAAGUCAAUUAACUUACCUGGGCCCAGCUUCUCUGUUCUGUGAAGUGAGGAGAGAGUCUCUGCCCGUCUCUCUGCACGUUUGCGCGGGUCAGGUGAGAUACUGACUGAAAAUUCUUUUGCAAAGGGAAGAGCAGUACGUCAGCACUGAUGGAAAUGAUUAAGGGUAAACACGUUGCCCUCUGCAUUGGCAGUGAGGAGGCGUCUGUCCAACCCUUGUGGCUCUGGGAGGAAGGGAGAGAGGCUGAGAAAAUGCCAACUGAUGAGCACAGGGAGGGAGCAAGGCUCUAUGGACCAGGACCGUCAGAUGGAAACUGAAAGAAACCCAACCCAGGAUUUCUUAGGAAAAAGAAGAAGGAACUUUCUGAAAGGGCAUCAGAUCCUGGAGUAGAACAAGGGUGGUUAGUGCUCAGGGAAAAUGGAAAAGGGACUCAAAUUCAACCAGGAUUCACUUUUCUCCUGGGAGAGUGUCCUUCUCUACUCUCUAGACUGCCCUGGGAACCUGUCCUGGGAAGCUGACUGAUGGGCACUGCCAAUAUUCAAGUCCUACAGCUCCCCCACCCGGAGGAGGCCGUUCCUGUCCUUGGUUUCAGUUCUAAACAUUCCAGUGAUGGAUGCUGAUUGGCUUGGCUGAGGUCAGAAGCCCCUCCUGGACCACUUGAGCCAGGGAGGCAGAAUCUCCUGGGGACACCUAGCGACCGCCUUGUCCACGGGAUGGAAACACUGGGAGCCUCUGCCGGGGGGCUGGGUGCCACAUACAGUUGCUCAGGUUGUGCGGUGUGCUGUAUACAGUAGCUCCAUCGGACGGAGGAGAAAACCAGAUGCUGGGAAGCAAUGGAGCCAAGCCAGAGCUGGGGCUUCUGAUCCCAGAUGUCACGCCUCCCCCAUGGAGACAGUGCUGCCUGUGGGAUCUGAGAACCUUUGCAGAGCUUAGCGGGUAGUGCUCCUCCCGCGCCCCCAUGCAGACCCAUCUGAAGAGCACUCCAUCCCAUCCAACAGUUAUCUGCAUUGAAGCCAUCCAUCCUGCCUUUUACGUUUGUCUCCAGAUAAUGCACCUUUUCAACCAACACAGGGUCCUUGUUAACCACACAGAGAAAUGCCAGCUUGAUCUGUUCACCUUUGAAUAGAUAGAGCCUAAGAGGUAUAGGGGUUGCAUUUAACUUCCAAGUCCUAAUCUUGACGCUUUCUUAGGGAAAACUUCUUCAACUGCCUGUCUUCAAGAGACUUUCAAAGCCCUCCCUCAAGUGAUUGUUAAGUGAUACUAGAAAUACAUUUGCCUGCAUCUGGAGAUGGUGGGAAAUCACCAUUAUCAGCGUCUGCAAGAGCUCCUCAGCCGGCGCAUGUACUCCUCACACCAUCUCUACAGUGUAGGAACCACAUUCACAGUUCCAUGCAAGGAAAUGGAAGCUUCUAGAAACCAGGUGACUCACAAAGCCAGGAAGCAGUAGGGACGGCGUUCAAACCUGGGUUUGUCUGAAACCAAAGCCCAUGUUGCUUUCUCUGGAUUAGAACUACUCACAAUGGAAGCGUGGACUGGUUCUGGAAUAUUCCACCACCACCUGUGCUUCCACAGAAUAUCUGAUUUCCAGCUGAAAGAGCGACUCAUGUAAAAAGGAGGUGGUUGGGAAAGGGAACUUUUCUCUUCUCCACGUAGUUUUUAGAAGAAGCAUUCUUCCUCCGGAUCCCUGGAGCAGGUGGCCACUGCCUCCACCUCGGGAAAGUCGGAUUGGCACUGUUUCUCCAAGCGGGUGGACUGUUUUGGUGGAAGUUUGUGGUAAAACACUGCCCUCAUCUGGACUUCUGGGCAUCAUGCAAUGGGGUGGCUACAGAGGAUUCUCAGAAGAACAAAAGUGCGCCUGGGUUACGUGCCCAGAGACACAGUGAAAAGCUGCUCCUACUGUUCAUCAUGCGUACGCCUUACUCUUCGGACUGACUCCUCAGAAUGGAAGCAGAAAGACGUUUUGGAACUGGCUGAACAAUGAUUUCCUAUCCUUUCUUUUUUUCUUUUUUGAGGAAGAUUAGCCCUGAACUAACUGCUGCCAAUCCUCCUCUCCUCCUUGUGGAGGAAGACUGGCCCUGAGCUAACAUCCGUGCCCAUCUUCCUCCACUCUCAUCCUUUUUUACGGAGGUGGCUGAGUUCUGUGGACAGAAGUAGGUAAAAAUCUUUAACCACAGGACAGACUGAGUAAUCGAAGUAAUACACCUAAACCAUCAGACACAAAGAGCUCCAACGAACCCUGAAUAGCAAGAACUUCGCAUGUAUAAGAUGGAUGGAGAAAGAACAGAGUGACUAGAGGUCGGCAUUUGCGUUUUGGAGUCAAAUAGACUUCAUUUGGUUCUCUUCUCUUCCAUUUAUAAGCUAUGUGACUUAGGCAAGUUAUGAAACACUUUGAGCCUCAGUUUCUUCAUCUGUAAAAUCAUAAUUAUAAAAGUGGCAGCUUAAGUGAAAUAAGCCAGAGAAAGACAAGCACUGCAUGGUUUCGCUUACACGUGGAAUCUAAAAAGUUAAAAAAAGAACAAAACAACAACUCUUCGAAACAGAGAGUAGAAAAGUGGUUUCCAGGGGCUGGGGAUGAGGAAAAUAGGGAGAGGUUGGUGAAGUACGAACUUUCAGCUAUGAGAUGAGUAAGGAUCUAAUGUAAAACAUAGUGACCACAGUUGAUAACACUGUAUUGUAUAACUGAAAACAAAGCAGCAGCUAACGUAGGACAGGUAGGAAAAUGAAACGCAAUAGCACCCAGUAAUACCUCAGCGCGCAGCCAGCAGUCAGACUCGACAGCUGUGAACUGGCAUUUCACUAUUCUGCCUGCCCCGGUGAUUAAUUGUAUAGAAUCGGCUAUUUUAAAUUGGGAAGCACAGAAGGCAACAAUGUCGCAAUAUAUAAACAGUUUCUUUUUCCGGAGCGUCUCACUUUAUUUUUACCAAAGUUUUGGCUAACAGCAAAGGUUUAACAAAUCAAAUAUUUCUCUAAAUUAUCCAAAUUUUAGAGCUGUAUACGUUUUCAACUAAAUCAAUGAUAUCCCUGCAAAGAUGUGGAAGAGGAACUUCAGGAAUAUAUGAACCUAGGAACUGCACGGCAAAGAUAAUAUGUACUUUGUUUUGUCUAAUUUAAAAAUAUGUCGGCAUACUAAAAUAUCAAAAAAGAUGAAAGCAUCAAAACAUCCCAUCACAAAUGAUUAGGAAGAUCCAGCUUUCUAAAAUACUAUCAAGUAUCAGAAAGUCACUAUACACUUCAUCUUUUGGCACCACCACUAUCGGAAGUGACACACAGACAGCGCUGAGCUGUGCACGGUUCCCUGUGUCUGCCUUCUCCCCUGCAACCACACAGAAGGAAGGGUCCCGUAAGGGCACAAGGAAGAAGAACCGGAGCUGUCAAUGCUUACGUUAACUUUGCUAGCAACGUAUUAUAAAGCACAAAUUUGAGGCCAUGAUAUACCUUUAAUUGCCUGACCAGUGAAUUAAUUCAGACUCAGCUAUUAAAAAUAUCUGAUCAUUUCAAAAAAUGGGCAGAGGAUAUGAACAGACAUUUUUCCAAAGAAGAUACACAGAUGGCCAAUAAGCACCUGAAAAGAUGUUCAGCAUCACUGAUCAUCAGGGAAAAUGCAAAUCAAAACUACACUAAGAUACCACCUUACACCUGUUAAAACGGCUAUAAUCACUAAGACUAAAAAUAGCUAAUGUUGGAGAGGGUGUGGAGAGAAGGGAACCCUCAUCCACUGCUGGUGGGAACGCAAACUGGUGCAGCCAGUUACAACAUUCACUAAGGUGGGGGAGACGCCAUGCCCUCACGGGCCAGGACUUGGCGAUGCGCCACCCCUGGAACCACAAAGUGAGGUCAAAGGCAUACGAACUACGUGGGCUGAGAGCUUAAGGGUGGUUGCUGAACGACAAAUUUCAGUGCUGACACCAAAAGGGGAAGUUGAUACUGGGCACGCUUUAACUGGUGCGGUGGAGACAGAAUAAAAAUACCCAAAAACCCAAAGUAGAUUCAAGCAUGUUUCAAGGAGGAACCACGUGGAUUUGAUAAUGUGAACAGGAGAAAGCAGUCAAAAAUGACUGAGCCAUAUAUUCAUUGACUCACCUAAGGCCAGAGAUAGCAAAAAAAAAAAAUCCGAG
rnacentral:lncRNA from 1 species